UUUUUAAAAGAUCAACAAGCAAGGACCAAAUCGAGAAUAUUGGGCCAUGUUCAUGAUGAAGUCUAGUAAGUGGGCAUUUGACCUAUUUUAUAAAUCGUUCAUAGCAGUUUUUAAGCCUAAUUUAAGCUCAUCAGUCCUCUCAAAUCAAUGUGAGAUCUAUUCUUUUCUGACAGCAAAUUGUCGCCAAUUUACUCAUAACAGAUGACCAAUAAAGGAAUUUAGCUGCUCAAAAUUUGAAGGAAGCAGUGAACGAAAAUGCUUUCUCCAAGAAUGAAACGUAGCUCUAUCUAGGCACCAUGCAAAAGGUGGAUUGGCAUUCGAUUAGCUCAAACACCCGUGUCUGACUGAGUGCCAUCUUCAACGCAAAGACGCUAUAAUCAUCAAGCUCUACAGAUGUAAUACAAGUUCAAAAUACACAAGAGAAGAUCGAAUCACAUGCAAACGAGAAACGCCAAAAACAGGGUUGUAACCAAAUUAUUGUGGCUUGAAACAACGGUGAGUUUCAAGGAUCUUCAUGAGGCCGAGAAAAAAAAAAAAAUUCAAUAUUGGCUCCAUGCGGCAGACGGGUCGCCAUGGAUCGGCGCCUGCUGCUGACUCAGAUUCAGAGCCAUUAAAGAAAAAACCCAGGUAACAAAAGAGCAACAUUGUGAGCAUAGACCUUCACUGUACCCAAGACUUUCAAACCCAAAAAUCCGCAAAUCAAUUUACCCAUGCACGGGAAGAGGGUAAUUUCUAUUUGUUUUUAAGAAUUUAGAUAUUCUUCUCCUACAGGAGUCCUCCUACACAGCACGACGGCGCCUCAGAGGCAUUGAGAGUGCGCAACAGGAAUUUAGAACGAGGAAGCUGAUAGUUAUAUAGUGGUUUCGGCAUAACCCUAAAAGCGGAGGAGGCCAUGAAAUUACAAUAAUAGAUAAGGGCUUUACGC
rnacentral:lncRNA from 1 species